ACACCAAUCCGGUCUCUGUUCACGUGAAGGGCACACGUCCUUUGGCCAAUCAGGUGAGGUGUCACGCAGCAGGCAGGCAGGCAGACUCACUGCGGGGGUCCUGGCGCCAUCUUGUUGUUUACCUAGACCUGGAUCCCUCCGCCCCCGGAGAGCCCUGCCCGUUGGAAAGCCCCUGGUCAAAAACUGAAACUAAAAACCUCCUCCUAGUGAUGCCGCCGCGGACUAUUCCCCAACAAAGAUGAGCAGAGUGAGAAGAGUUUGGAAAAAUUAUUUGGAUUUCACCACCUGUCACAAGUAAGCUUAACAAUAGGAUUAUUAAACUAUUCAGUGACAGAGGAUUUAGAAAUCUCCUCAAGUGAAUGAAAUCCACUGGGAAAAGGAUCAUAUCUUCAUUGUCAGAUUGCUAAAAGACAACAAUCUGAAAACGUCAUUAUGACUCAGUUUCUACAAAACUCCAAAUAAAGUUGAACUAUAAGAAGAAAAAUAAACAACCUGGGUGUAUUGCAAGUUCUUUCACCCAUUCUAAUACAUGUGACAUAAUUGCAAUUCAUAGACUAAGUUGAAUGACAUAUCUAGUCUUUACCGUCCCUGGUAUCCAGUCUGAAGGAGGUUGAUAUUACCUGUAAAUUUGUUUCUUCUGCAGAAGAACUUAUAGUAUUUGAAAUGACACAAUAACAUUAUUUUCUUAAUUAAGAAAACUAGAUGACACAUAUACCUACUUUUUCAAGAAAUCUUAGACAAAGAGGAAAAUACCUCAAUUUUCCUGAAGUCACUUCCUGAGCCUACAGCUUUCCUGAUGCUUUAUGUGUUUUUCCUUUUUUUUUUUUUUUUUUUUGACAGAUAGAGAUGGACAGUGAGGGAAAUGUCUUCCUUCCAUUGGUUCACCCUCCCAAAUGCCCGCUAUGGCCAGUGCUGCACCUAUCCGAAGCCAGGAGCCAGGUGCUUCCUCCUGGUGUCCCACGUGGGUGCAGGUGCCCAAGCACUUGGACCAUCCUCCACUGCCUUCCUGGGCCACAGCAGAGAGCUAGACUGGAAGAGGAGCAACCGGGACUAGAACCUGGCGCCCACAUGGGAUGUGUUUUUCCUUUAAUGCUGGUGUGUGUGUGUGUGUGUGUGUUCACAUUAACAUAUAGUUCCUCUUUGCUGUAAGGUGAAGGAUGCAAUUG